AUUGAACGCUGGCGGCAGGCCUAACACAUGCAAGUCGAGCGGAGCGGCGGACGGGUGAGUAAUGCCUAGGAAUCUGCCUGGUCGCGGGGGAUAACGUCCGGAAACGGGCGCUAAUACCGCAUCCUAUCAGAUGAGCCUAGGCUGGCUUAGCUAGUUGGUGGGGUAAAGGCCUACCAAGGCGACGAUCCGUAACUGGUCUGAGAGGAUGAUCAGUCACAAUGGAAGUGAGACACGGUCCAGACUCCUACGGUAGGCAGCAGUGGGGAAUAUUGGACAAUGGGCGAAAGCCUGAUCCAGCCAUGCCGCGUGUGUGAAGAAGGUCUUCGGAUUGUAAAGCACUUUAAGUUGGGAGGCGUUACCAACAGAAUAAGCACCGGCUAACUUCGUGCCAGCCGCCGCGGUAAUUC
rnacentral:rRNA from 1 species